AGACAUUUGGUGUGAAAUACAGGGAUGCGUUUAGUCAUGUACAGGAGAGACGAUUUUGCAUUAAUCCCAAUGUAGGCUUUGUUCAUCAGCUACAGGAAUAUGAAGCAAUAUAUCUUGCAAAGCUUACCAUCAAGAUGAUGUCACCCAUUCAGUUGGGCAGGUCUUUCUCCAUCCAAGCUGGUAUGCCAGGUAAGAGAACAUUC